CUUGAUCGAGCCGAGCCACAGCGGCUCACCCGCACGGUCCUGGCCGUAGGCGGCGAGGAGCGCCUGGGCCUC
rnacentral:antisense_RNA from 1 species